GCGGACGUAGCUCAGCUGGUAGAGCUCUCGAUUGUGGUUCGAGCGGUCACGGGUUCAAGUCCCGUCGUUCGCCCA
rnacentral:tRNA from 1 species